rnacentral:lncRNA from 1 species
CUGCCCUGUUGUGGACAGACCUGCUAGUCUCCUGUGAAGGUGGAUAUCUCUGCCCUGUUGUGGACAGACCUCCUAGUCUCCUGUGAAGGUGGAUAUCUCUGCCCUGUUGUGGACAGACCUGCUAGUCUCCUGUGAUGGUGGAUAUCUCUGCCAUGUUGUGGACAGACCUGCUCGUCUCCUGUGAAGGUGGAUAUCUCUGCCCUGUUCUGGACAGACCUGCUAGUCUCCUGUGAAGGUGGAUAUCUCUGCCCUGUUGUUGACCCAGACCUGCUAGUCUCCUAUGAUGGUGGAUAUCUCUGCCCUGUUGUGGACAGACUUGCUAGUCUCCUGUGAAAGUCGAUAUCUCUGCCCUGUUGUGGAUAGACCUGCUAGUCUCCUGUGAAGGUAGAUAUCUCUGCCCUGUUGUGGACAGACCUGCUAGUCUCCUGUGAAGGUGGAUAUCUCUGCCCUGUUGUGGACAGACCUGCUAGUCUCCUGUGAAGGUGGAUAUCUCUGCCCUGUUGUGGACAGACCCGCUAGUCUCCUGUGAAGGUGGAUAUCUCUGCCCUGUUGUGGACAGACCCGCUAGUCUCCUGUGAAGGUGGAUAUCUCUGCCCUGUUGUGGACAGACCCGCUAGUCUCCUGUGAAGGUGGAUAUCUCUGCCCUGUUGUGGACAGACCUGCUAGUCUCCUGUGAAGGUGGAUAUCUCUGCCCUGUUGUGGACAGACCCGCUAGUCUCCAGUGAAGGUGGAUAUCUCUGCCCUGUUGUGGACAGACCUGCUAGUCUCCUGUGAAGGUGGAUAUCUCUGCCCUGUUGUGGACCCAGAC